AGCCUUAUAGUGUAGCCGUAGCCUCGGAGGCAGUGCUGUCUGCUCUGAAGAGCUUACAGUCUAAAAGCAGACAAGAUGAAGGGCAGAAAAGCAUCAUCCCCCUUUUACAAGGGGGAGAGGCCCAGAGAAGUUAAGUGAUGUGGCCAAGGGCACAGAAAAUCUGUGGUCAAGCCAGGAAUUGAACGCAGCCUUCCUGAUCUCAGGCUAGUCCCUCGCCCAUAACACCACUUUGUCUUGUAAGGCUUGAGAUAGCUAAUCAGAGGGGAUGCCUAGUUCUAAGACUUACUGCCCUAUUCUUUCCUUAGGGCCCAUUGCAACCAGGCUGGUGCCAUCAUGGUAGUGUCAGUAUGAAUCAGGGCUAAGGGAUGUGCUGGCCUGAUGCAUGUUACAUUGGUGGGAAGCUGCUGCCGUUAGUAUAUCGCUCUUGAACGUGCUAACCUGGCCCCCUGUGUCAGUGCUGCACAUACUCACCAGGAGCGUGUGUCAAUGCACCGUGCGGUGUGCCACGGCUGGAGUCUUGCUUUGUUAAUUCUCUCCCCUUUGGCUUUAUAGGUGGGGGAGCCAACGAGUUAUUGUGUAAGGGUUGGUGGCAUUUGGCUGAGCACUAGACAUCAGCUGCCGUGUUUUGCAAAGAAUGGGCCAGAUUCACUGGUGACCUACAUGGGGCAGCUCCCCUUCAAGGGAAACCAAGGAUUCCACAAGCCACGUUACGGGAGGGUUCUGCAACAAAAAAUCCAUCACUUCAUCCAAGGCCUCCCAAGCUUUGGCCACCUUCUCCCGGCUCUGGUUUAGGACGUUGCUGGGCAAGUCCUGGAAGGAGUUGGCAGAGUAGAAGUACCUAUGCAGCUCUGCCAUGUUCUGAUGCACUUGCUGCAUCUUUUCCUGGAGAUGUGUGGGAAGGCCUCUGAUGUUGGAUAAGAGGUUCAGGUACGUAGCUUGCAGCUGCUGCGUCAGGCUACGGGUCAUCGCCAAGGUCUUGGAUUCCACCUGUCGUGACACAGCAAAGGAAGAGUUAGUGAUGUGAGGUUUGCCUGGAUGCUGCAGUCGCUGGCUUUCGACCCUGUUUCUAGUGAAGAUACCUCUAGCUGCAGGGAGCCACUGCCCUUGCUACUGCUGGCUUGGGAGUUGUGAUCUGUGCUGUUGCUGGCUUGGGAGCCGCAGUCCUUGCUGCCCCCUGGUUUGCUCCAGAGGUCUCUUUCCUGCUUCUGGCUCCAUUGGUCCCACAUACUGCGCAGCUUCUCCUGGCUGCUGCGAAGCUUCUUCUCCUGCUGGACGUGUUCAAUCUGCACCGUGGAGAAAGCACCAUGGAGUCGGCUGGGCAUACUGGAGCUGACCAAGAGCAGAGAGGGAGGCUGGACAGGGAGGGGCAAGCGAGUGUCCCCGAUAACCGCGAUCUGGUGGAGUCUGAGGCCAUGCGGCUGCCAGGCGGGAGGCCGAGGAGAGGGCCGGGCGUGUUCUUACCAGGUUGAUAGUCUGGUGGAGAUGAGCGAGGUUCUCAUGGGUGUUCUGUCUGGUCUGUCUCAGCUUAUUCAGGAUCAGCAUGAAGGCCCGGUUCCGCAGACUGGUGGACAGGGACCCCAGCCGCACAAAGCAGCCCUUCUUGCGGUGCUCUGCUGUGGAGACGUCCAGCUCCUCCAUUGUGAGUGCAGCUGGAGAGAGAGAGAGGUGGACACCACAUUAAGGAGGAGGCAGGAGCUAUGGUCCGGAGCUUCACAGGCUCAGUGUGGCACUGUCAGGAUGCCCAGGAUCUACCUACCUGCUGUUCCCUGUUUUCUAGUGAAGCCGUCUUCAGUCCAGUGUCAGAGGAAGCUGCCUUCAGUCCAUUUUCACUGGCUGGCAAAGUGACAUCCACACUUCCUGAUGGGACAGAAUGGGGAAGAUAAGGCAGGUCAGGGAAAAAGUUGCCCAGACUAGCUAGAAAGCAGAACAGGGUCCUGUUGCGCUAGGGGCUGUCCAUCCACAGUGAGAGACAGUCCCUGCCCCCAGAGGGUUUACGGUUUAAAUAGACCAGACAGGUGAAGGGGGAGGAGAAAGCAGGAGUAUCAUCAUCCCAACUUUAUGGAUGAGCAAACUGAGGCAAGCCGAGAGCGACUUGCCCAAGGUUGGGCACCAUCUCUGGCAGAGGCAGGAAUAGAAGCCAGGUCUCUUGAGUCACACUUAACCACAAGACCAACCGUCCUUUUAUGUGUAACAGCCGCCACAGGUGUUGUGCAAUGAGAACUGUGGGGGGGAAAGGCUAGAUUAAGGCCACGGCUACGGGAUGAAGAUAUUGCUAUAGUGGCAUAACACCAACGUGUAAACGCAGCCUCUGCCCUGGCAGGGGUUUCUCCAU